rnacentral:rRNA from 1 species
UGGGGAAUUUUGCGCAAUGGGCGAAAGCCUGACGCAGCAACGCCGCGUGAGUGAUGAAGGCUCUUGGGUCGUAAAGCUCUGACAGAGGGAAAGAAAUGCAUGGUGGCUAAUAUCCACUGUGCUUGACGGUACCCUCAAAGGAAGCACCGGCUAACUCCGUGCCAGCAGCCGCGGUAAUACGGAGGGUGCGAGCGUUGUUCGGAUUUAUUGGGCGUAAAGCGCGUGUAGGCGGUUUGAUCAGUCUGAUGUGAAAGCCCCGGGCUCAACCUGGGAAGUGCAUUGGAUACUGUCAGACUUGAAUACGGGAGAGGGCAGUGGAAUUCCUGGUGUAGGAGUGAAAUCCGUAGAUAUCAGGAGGAACACCGGUGGCGAAGGCGGCUGCCUGGACCGAUAUUGACGC